CUGAGGUUUGGUUUGGAUGGAGGCCAGUGAAUUCAGGGUGUAGAAUAGAAGCAACACACUGUGAUCAACAGGGCUUCCAUCCAGAACAAGGUAAGACUUCAGAUCGCAGAGCUCCAGGAGCCAAAUCAAGGAGCAGCCAUCACAGGGCCAUCAUGGAGCUUGGUGAUCAUCCAAUGAAGGCCCAGGGAUACUUCCUGAUGACCUCUUGCUGUGGAGACAGUCCCUGUAGACAGCUUGAACAUCUGGAAGUUCACAGUUCAUGUACUGUUGAAGUCAGAAGUACUUGUAAGUUCAAGUCUUUGAUCCUAGCCAACCAGGAUGGCAGCUCCUUCAUGGUGAAAACAACUUCUGUAGAGAGUUCUCUGACAAAGGUUAGAUUUCAGUGGAAGAUUUAAAAAAUCACAAAUGCGGAGAAGGAAAUGGCAACCCACUCCAGUAUUCUUGCCUGGAGAAUCCCGUGGACAGAGAAGCCUGGCAGGCUACAGUCCAUGCGGUCGCAAGAGUCCGACACAACUGAGCAGCUAAACCACCACCACCACAUGCUAAAUAUUAGUAAGUGCAUAUGAAUAUGCUAACAAAUGAUCAUCAUUCAAUAUUAUCUUUUAAAAAAUAAAAAAUCACAAAUGUUUUUGGUCUUCCA
rnacentral:lncRNA from 1 species